GCCCCUGUAGCACAAUGGAUAGAGUGUUGGACUUCUAAUCCAAAGGUCCUGGGUUCGAAUCCUACCUGGGAUG